GUACGGAGGGUGCAAGCGUUGCUCGGAAUUAUUGGGCGUAAAGGGUAGGUAGGUGGUCUCAUUUGUCUGGGGUGAAAGCCUUGAGCUUAACUCAAGAAGUGCCCCCAGAAACGGUGAGACUAGAGUUCUGGAGAGGGUCGUGGAAUUCCCGGUGUAGCGGUGAAAUGCGUAGAGAUCGGGAGGAACACCAGAGGCGAAGGCGGCGACCUGGACAGAUGACUGACACUCAACUACGAAAGCGUGGGGAG
rnacentral:rRNA from 1 species